rnacentral:lncRNA from 1 species
CACCACACCUGCCCUGAGACCCUUACUAAGCCUCUCUGGUGUCCUUGUGUUUUUCAGGGGGCUGCGCUGUCCAGGCUCUCACCCCCUCCUCAACUAAGUUUGGCCAUUCACCUCAUCUUGAACCCCAAAACCCUCAUUGAGCCCCCACGGGUCUGCUCCAGUUGGAAACUUAGCUGCCCCCGGGAUGGGCUUCUUGAUGGAGGGCCUCGUAGCCCCACAGACCCUGAACCCAGUGGAUCAUGCCACUGCACCCUUCUACACACUACAUCAGCUGGGUCCAGUCUUGAGAAGAGGCCCAAAUGCUCCAGUCCACAAGGCAUGCAGCUCAGCAUGAAGCACCACCGGAUUAAAAACUCUUCAACUGGACGAUGAGGGGCAAGAUGGCGGAAGAGUAGGGUCCCCAAGUCACCUGUCCCCACCAAAUUACCUAGAUAACCUUCAAAUCAUCCUGAAAAUCUAUUAAUUCGGCUGAGAUUUAAAGAGAGAACAGCUGGAACGCUACAGUGAGAAUUCACGCUUCUAUCAAGGUAGGAAGACGCGGGGAAAAAAGAAAUAAAGAAACAAAAGGUAUCCAAGGGGGAGGGGCCUCACGAGGAGCCGGGCUAAG